GGUUUAGGGUUUAGGGUUUAGGGUUUAGGGUUUAGGGUUUAGGGUUUAGGGUUUAGGGUUUAGGGUUUAGGGUUUAGGGUUUAGGGUUUAGUAAAAUAUAGAUGUAUAGCAUUUAUAUAAAUUAAAUUUGAUUUCAAUUUUGAGAGAAACAAUAUUAUUCUAUUUAAAAAUAAAUCAAACUAAAUUGAAUGUAAAUAUUACACGUGACACUGUGAUACUAGUUCCUGAUAAAUGAU
rnacentral:lncRNA from 1 species